AAUUGCAUGCAUGCUUUUAUUGCUAUAAAAUGUGCUUUAGAAAAUCAUGUGUUCAUAAUUGCAUGCAUAAUUUUGUAGGUGAACAUACAGAAAAUGCAAGAUAAAACAUACUUUUGAUUGUAUACCUCAACCAAACAUGAUCCUAAUAUAACAACUAUUACACUUUUAGAGAAGAUAAAGAUCCAGAAUUGUUCGUACCUAGAGGAACUCACCUUCUUGAUGCUGUUGUGAUUUUCCUCCAGGUCUGCUGUUGUGAUGGCCGAAGGAAGAGCAAGGAGGGGGAGGAGGGAUGGCAGAGGAGGUUAACAUCUAUAGCUUUUAUUAUGAAGCUAAGCUUCUAGACACACAUCUGAUCUGGUAGUUAUUUGUAUGAGUUGACAAGACAUUCGACAUGAAGCUAUUAGAAUACACCCCGUUCGACUGUGUAAAUGUGUUCUUUGAUCAACCAAACCUUGGUGAAUGUACAAUCAGGGGGAGCCUUGAUGCCUUCUCAUGUAAGAG